CUCCUCAUAUCUUUCUAAUAUACUCCUUAUGCUUUUGCAUUUUGUUGGAUUUCAAAUCAAAAUUUGUAAAAUCACUGUGCAGACAUUUUUCAAAAAGGCAAUUGACAUGGUUUCGAAAUGAGCAUAUAUAUCACUGGCUUGAUGCUUCUAAACCCCUGGUAUGACACGUUGAUUGUUCAUGCAUCAGCUUGUUUCUGUUCUCUUUUCUUAUUUCUAUUCAAAUUACAUAAUUUGGUCACUAGGAAAAGUAGUGCUGUCAUUUCCUCAUCCUCAGUAUUUUACAACCUUCAUUCUCUAAAAGUUGAUCGUCAACAUUCUUGUCUUUUAAUUGAUUAAAUUAUGUAAUCAAUUUCUUAGAGGAAGGGUUUGAUUCUAUUUUCUCCGUUCUGAUUAUUGUAUAAUGUGGCUUUUCAAUGUAGUCCAUUGAUAAGACUUGAUUUAAGACUAAAAAUGAUAGGUUUGCAUGUUCAGUUGAAGAUUAUCUGGGAUGAAAAAUGUAUUUUCAUGCAUAUAAUUUAGGGAAAAUGUGCAUAAUUUGUGAUUAUUGACUUUUGAAUUCAGUUAUAGGUAAAUGAAGGCUAAUUUGUGUAAAUAUGCUUAUUUUGUAAGGAAAAGUGAAGAUAUGAUCAAAAUGUGUGAGGCACAUUGCAGGACCAAAAUUUAUGGCUUACUCUAAGAAUGAGCCAGUCAAGUUACUUUGAAAGUUCUAGCUUCACAAUGCUUCAACCACAUUCGAUGCCUAGAUUGUCAAAACGGGAAUAAUAACUUUUGACCAAGUAAUUGGUCAAAGAUUUGUUAUAAGUUCCUAAUAUCUCUACAACAACUAGUGGUUGCCAACUUGCCUUGAAUUUCUCAAAUCCGUAUUACUUUCAUGGCCUAUAAAAGGAGCCUCCAAGCAUCACUUGAAAGUGCACUCAACAUUAUUUAUGAUGCUUACCACAAGGAGAGUGGAAAUAUCACGGUUACAGAUUCACUAAAAAUGAAAAAAGAUGUUUCCAGUCGCCGAGAAGUUUUUGAGCUCAAGGCUUAUCGUUCGAGGAAUAGGUAUUUUGUUAGACGUGAAGAUUGUGCUAAUGUUUUGGAUUGGACAGGAAGAACACAAAGAGUAAACCAAGAUUGUCUUCUUGCUUGAACGGCUUGUUUGAGUCAAAUGCUUUUUGAUUCAUUGGUUUCUUUGUGGAGCUCAGGACUUGUGCAUUAGUUGAGCAGUGUGAGUUCAUUUUAGAUCAAGGUGUUGUAUUCUAUUCUCUACUACCAAUAAUGUUGUUUCAAUAACUUAAAGCAUGUGAUUGGUUAUGUAGUUUGUAGUUAUAGAAUCCAAGAACGAUGAGUUCAUAAAAUGAUAAACCAGUCCUCAAAAAGUGGUCAGUAUGGCUUAGUUUUGGAGCUUAUCUUGUUUAUUUUAAGGUAUUUAGCUCUUGUAUUAGUGUAUUGCUUCAGAUUCUGACUAUUGAUUCAAAAUUCCAUAAUAAUAUGGCCUUUCGUUGGUAGUUUUUCUUCUUAAUGUUCAUUCUUCUCCAAUCUGACUGUAUAGUUUCUCGUUGAGCUUGUUAUUUGUUUGCUUUGCCUUUUUCUUAUUCCAACUAUCAUCUUGCAUCAGUCUUUGAAGUUAAAACGUUUAACUUAAUGACUCAUAGUUUUAUAUAAACC